GAUGAACGCUAACUACAGGCUUAACACAUGCAAGUCGAGGGGUAGCAGGGUAGCAAUACCGCUGACGACCGGCGCACGGGUGAGUAACACGUAUCCAACCUUCCCAUAACUCGGGGAUAGCCUUUCGAAAGAAAGAUUAAUACCCGAUAGUACUUAACAAAGGCAUCUUUGAUAAGUUAAAGAUUUAUUGGUUAUGGAUGGGGAUGCGUUCCAUUAGAUAGUUUGUGAGGUAACGGCUCACCAAGUCUUCGAUGGAUAGGGGUUCUGAGAGGAAGGUCCCCCACAUUGGUACUGAGACACGGACCAAACUCCUACGGGAGGCAGCAGUGAGGAAUAUUGGUCAAUGGGCGAGAGCCUGAACCAGCCAAGUAGCGUGAAGGAUGAAGGUCCUAUGGAUUGUAAACUUCUUUUAUAGUAGAAUAAAGUGAUCCACGUGUGGAUUUUUGUAUGUAUACUAUGAAUAAGGAUCGGCUAACUCCGUGCCAGCCGCCGCGGUAA
rnacentral:rRNA from 1 species